rnacentral:rRNA from 1 species
GGUCCCUAUCCGUCGCGGGCGCAGGAAAUUUGAGAGGAGCUGUCCUUAGUACGAGAGGACCGGGAUGGACGCACCGCUGGUGUACCAGUUGUCUUGCCAAAGGCAUAGCUGGGUAGCUACGUGCGGACGGGAUAAGUGCUGAAAGCAUCUAAGCAUGAAGCCCCCCUCAAGAUGAGAUUUCCCAUGGCGCAAGCUAGUAAGAUCCCUGAAAGAUGAUCAGGUUGAUAGGUCAGAGGUGGAAGCGUGGCGACAUGUGGAGCUGACUGAUACUAAUAGAUCGAGGACUUAACCAAC